UCCCCCUGGCAAUGAGUGAAGAGACACCCUGUUGGUGGUGGUGUUCUUGUACCCAUCAGAGGCAGAGCGGACGGUAGUCCUUUCUUCAUCCCAGUUUGAUGUCUGGUUUGGUGGCCAAAGCUGUUUUAUACCUAGUACGCAUAC